CACCGACUGCUCCAGUUGAUAGUAGCCUCGGGGACUACACCAAGUGGGUGCGCUCAACGCGCCCCCACUGGAAAGAUAGAGGAUAAGGGAUCCACACCUGACCGGCCUCUAUCGAUCAAUACAAGGAAACUGAGACUACCGCUAACUGCCUGAGGCGACGGUAGCCUCGAGGACAACACCGAGUGGGUGCGCUAAGCGCGCCCCCAUUGGAAAGAUAGAGCAAAGAAAAGGCAUGCGCACCCGACUAGUCUUUGUCGAACAUACAAAGAAAAUAAGACUACCGCCGACUGCCCCAGUCGAUGGCAGACUCGGGGACUACACCUAGUGAGUAUGCUCAACGCGCUCCCACUAAAAGCAAACACCCAACAGGUGUGCCGUCGAGCAUGCCCACUCGAGAUUCCAAGUCGGGAACAGAUUCAGAAACAAGUAUGAAACAAAUGCAUACGUGAAGGAUUCACCCGAAUGUUCUUUGCCACUGCUUCACUCGCAUCAUACACCUCCUUCAAUCGCCCAACCAGCACGUCUAGCUGAGCCAAGGCUUCCUCACGCGCCCCCUCCUGAUCCUUCGGGAUAUGGUGGAGCUGGAAGAUGUUGUGAUCCUUGGGGAGAGGGUCAGCGGAUCCAGUUUGAGUGACGCCACAAUCGAGGCGGCCUCCUACAUGUGGCGCUCCGCCUGAUUAGUAAUGUUCCUAGACGGUCGCCGCACAUGCCAGCCCAAGAAAUCACUCUGGCAUGCACGUUUACAACAGGUAUCAUGAACAUAGGCAUUUCUAUUAAUGAAUAUAAGAGUUUUACACAAUGAGCUACAAGGUUAAUGGCAGCGAAAAAAGCUCUAUCUAAGGCAGCAUGGUCUUGAUGCAGCUCCAAUCCACAGGGAUCUGACUCGGUUACGCUCCUAGACCGCAAAUGCUCUGUCUCCUUAGCGACGAACGACGGAUCCUUAUGUGAACCUGGCCACAUUAAAAGUCGCUGAGUACUUUUGAAUGUACUCGCAAGCGAACCAAACUAACAUAUACACCAAGCAAAGUAAUCCAUGGCAUUCAAGCAGGUAUUUGUUAUUAGAGCAAUAUUAAUCAUCAUGACAUAGCCUACCUAUCUAGCAAGGUUAAUUAUCAAGGUAUAACAGGGUUAUCUAAAUAGAUAACUUCUGAAGUAAAUGCUAUAAGGUAAAGCAUAUUAGGUAAAUGAUUUAUACUCCGACUAUUCUCAUGAUCCAGUCUGAAUCUGAUUCAAAUCCAACCCUACUGAUGUGGUCAUCCAACCACUCAUCUCAUAGCCAUCUCAUGGCUAACAUGUCAUAUACCGGACAUCUUCCGAUGUCUACACCAGACGAGUUCUUCCAUCAUUAUCAUCACUCUUACGGUUGAUCACCUACUGAGGUCUGGUCGUGCUGUCCAAUACCAUGGACUCGGCUAUUCGAAUAGAUUUUACACUCUGCAGAGGUUGCACACUUUACCCAGACUAUGGAGCACUCACCUCGAGAUCCCAAUCGGGUGGACCAGCAUUACUCGAACAAAACUUGCCUGAACCGUGACCCUCUCAUCAUAUCCCCGGAAACCACUCCCUUCCGGAGUCUUUCCCUCGGUGGACCUGUGUCCUCAUGACACCUACCACCAUCGUGGCCAAACAAAACUGUCCCAACCGGGGACGGGACCAACUCAACUUAACUGGGCUCACAGGGUUAUCAUCACCUACCUGAUCAGGGUAGCACGCAUGCAUAACCCCCCCCCCCUCUUUGGAGGUACCGGUGAGAGCGAUCACGUGAACAGCUCAAGUCACGGCCGUCCCAUAUCGGCAAAUGUGGUUGCACGAAAAAGCCCAGACAGGUGACUCGAGAUCAACCCAUUAGGUUUGGCUUAAACAACAUAUUUAUCAAGCAUGGUUGUUGUCAACAAUGACUUAACAUGAUGAUGAUUAUGCAUGAAAUAACAACGGUAGAAACACCACAACCUGUUUCUAUAUAAUGAGUCAUUAAUAAGACAUUAUGUAAAUGACAAGUUAUUACUUGAUGAUUUCUAACUGUAAAUUAGACCCUCGGAACCCUCGCAUAAAACCAACAAAUAAAUCGGUAGCCACCAGAACGGCUAUGACAACACAGAUCUGGGACCUUACCGGAAUAACUCAACCGCGGCUCAAGAUGGCUGGAAAGCAGCUCAGAGCAUGAUGUGGUGUUGAUAAUAAGAAUGUAGCAGUUCCCUAAGACGACCGAAGAACAGCUUAGAGCAUAGGGUCACUGCCUCGGAAAGAAAUUCAACAGCCCCGUGACGGCUGAAAAACAGCUCAGAACACGGGUCAGCGGCUGACAAGAGAAAUAUAAAGUUGGCACCCACCCCGGACGACCGAAAACAGCUCAGAAUCAAGCGUGGUUCCAUUAUUGAAGAAAAUGCGAGCAAGGGUUCGUCAGCAUCUCAUACAGAACAUUACUAUACACUCACACAUAAGCAUAUUGAAAUAAUAUGCAAGAACAUCGCAGAGCAAAGCUUUAGGGCAUAUAUCACAUGGUCGGCUUGCCUGGGGUUGAAGAAUACUCCCGGAAGAGGUGCUGAGAGUCCGCGGAAAGGAUCGCCAGACAUCGCUCUCUCUUGAAGGGGGCUGAUUGGAGACAAGGGCAAAAGGGUCAUUUUCACAGUCUCACCACCUUGUGAAAAUGCUAUCAACAUGACGGGAUCGACGAGACGAAGCCGAGGGUUUUGGAAUCACCUCAAUCGGAGUCCCGAGCAAAAAGAUAAGACCCGAUGAAGUUUAGGGACCUAUCCAUAAAAAUAAAUUCCUACAAACAGGUCCCUGACUGGAAACAGAACGCGCCUCCGGGCCGAGUACGCUUUUCAAAAGAGAAAGCGCAUUCCGGAGAAUACAUUUUCACUUAAGCGCGGGGGCCCGGGGCUGAUCAACGCCUCACAGGCUGACGAAUGGGGCCAAUGGCAUCUCCUUCCUCCCUCUCUCUCUCGCCUCCCUCCCCUCGCUCAUCUUCUUCCUCCCGACAGGACAGGGGACAGGGAGGGGCUCGACGCCGGCGACGGCUGCCGGUUGCUCCGGCCAUCAUUCGUCGCUCUCUGGCCACCAACAAGCUCAGGGGACCAAGCUGCAUCCAUCCCCGUAGGUGGCGGAGCCUGGGGAGAACCCGGGCGAGGUUGCCCCUAGCCAUGGCGGGCGGGGCUCGGGCGCCGAAUGGUGCGGCGACUACCGGCUGUCAGAGGGCUAGGAGAGGGGUUGGAGAGGUCCACGCCGCAGAGGGGAGGACAAGGGCGAGGUCAGAAGGAAGAGAAGGGGCCUGCACCACGCGAAUUUAGCAAUGGAGGGGCGGCGGCCAUGGCGGCGAUUGGAGGCAAGGAGAGGAGCCAAAGCUCCGGGGAGGGGACGGGGACGAUCAGUGGAGUGGGGAGAGGAGAAUGGGGGGCUGAGAUGCUCGGGGUAAGGCUCAGUCAUGG
rnacentral:lncRNA from 1 species